UUUGGCUCUCGUAGUGCCACUGUACCUCCUGGGUCUCGUCUGAUCUCAGAAGCUAAGCAGGGUCGUGCUUGGUUAGCACUGAGGUGGGAGACCCCUGUGGCCCUAGUGCUUAUU
rnacentral:rRNA from 1 species